UUAGCUCAACGGAUAGAGUGCCGGAUUCCGAAUCCGUAGAUAGGGGUUCGAUUCCCCUA
rnacentral:tRNA from 1 species